rfam:Hordeum vulgare subsp. vulgare, WGS project CAJW01000000 data, contig: morex_contig_1590958
UAAAUACUCCAUCCGUUUUAAAAUUCUUGUUUUAGUUUUGUCUAGAAAUAGAUGUAUCUAAAUACUAAAAUUUAACUAGAUACAUUCAUAUCUACACAAAUUAAGACAAGAAUUUUAGGACGGAGGGAGCAUAAA